rnacentral:rRNA from 1 species
UAUACCUAUUCGAAGGGAUAGGGUCGGUUCGGCCGGAUUUUACACAAGUGUUGCAUGGCUGUCGUCAGCUCGUGUCGUGAGAUGUUGGGUUAAGUCCCGCAACGAGCGCAACCCUCAUCCUUAGUUGCCAUCAGGUAAUGCUGAGUACUUUAAGGAAACUGCCAGUGAUAAGCUGGAGGAAGGUGGGGAUGAUGUCAAGUCAUCAUGGCCUUUAUGGAGUGGGCUACACACGUGCUACAAUGGUGUCUACAAUGGGUUGCAAGGUGCGCAAGCCUAAGCUAAUCCCUAAAAGACAUCUCAGUUCGGAUUGUACUCUGCAACUCGAGUACAUGAAGUUGGAAUCGCUAGUAAUCGUGGAUCAGCAUGCCACGGUGAAUACGUUCUCGGGUCUUGUACACACUGCCCGUCACGCCAUGGGAAUUGGUUUCACUCGAAGCU